rnacentral:rRNA from 1 species
UACGGGGGGAGCAAGCGUUGUUCGGAUUUACUGGGCGUAAAGCGCACGUAGGCGGAUUGGUCAGUUAGGGGUGAAAUCCUGGAGCUCAACUCCAGAACUGCCCUUAAUACUGCCAGUCUCGAGUCCGGAAGAGGUAAGUGGAACUCCUAGUGUAGAGGUGGAAUUCGUAGAUAUUAGGAAGAACACCUGAGGCGAAGGCGGCUAUCUGGCGGUGCACUGACGCUGAGGCGCGAAAGCGUGGGGAGCAAACAGG